UACGGAGGGUGCAAGCGUUAUCCGGAUUCACUGGGUUUAAAGGGUGCGUAGGUGGGCAGGUAAGUCAGUGGUGAAAUCUCUAAGCUUAACUUAGAAACUGCCGUUGAUACUAUCUGUCUUGAAUAUCGUGGAGGUGAGCGGAAUAUGUCAUGUAGCGGUGAAAUGCUUAGAUAUGACAUAGAACACCAAUUGCGAAGGCAGCUCGCUACACGGUUAUUGACGCUGAGGCACGAAAGCGUGGGGAUCAAACAGG
rnacentral:rRNA from 1 species